CAGGUGCAGGAUAAAAUCUCGUGGUGCGCCGUUUUUUAAGCCGGUUGGAAAAGCGCAGUAUUUGGGUGGGAGUGCCCGAUUUUCCAGACAACUUUGCACCAUGCGGACAGGUCAAAUGAGACCAGAAGUAUUAUGAACCAAUGCUAAUCAGGACUGUUUCCUGCACUCUGAGACCAAAGGGGCCAUUCUCACAAAGAAAGAGGUAGGUAUUAUUACAGCAAUAUAAAUCACCCAAGAGUUUGGUUCAAAACUUUUUUGAUUAACUAAAACUUUUAUUAAUAAAAGUAGAUUAAAGACAUAUUAAGGGUUCAAUAUUUUAAAGAGUGACCCUUAGGAAAUAGGCAUAUAGUGAUUGGUGUUGGAUGUAAUGAUAUACCAUAAUUAAUGUGAGCACUACAGAGUCUUGAGCCCCACAUCUCUGCACUGUGAUGAAUUUUCCAGUUCAAUACUAUUCAUUUCAGUUAACUUUGACUCAAUUUACAUUUGUAUCAAUUCAAGGUAGCAUUUGAUAUUGUGGAAAGAGGGUUGGCUGUUAGAAUUCAUGAACUUCCAUAUUAAC
rnacentral:lncRNA from 10 species